rnacentral:lncRNA from 1 species
AUAAGUUGGACUUAAAGCCGUAUACAACUAAAUAAACUUUAUCUCCUUAAGGUAAGAGGCUCGCUUAGGUAAAAGGUAAGAAUAGAAAAAGAGUGCACGAAAAACAUUGAUAAGAAGGUGGAGAGUAUUAUCAUAUAUCUCUCUGACCCUCUUUUCUUAUAUAUUCCCUACUCACCCUAACUUUCAACCCCAAAAACCAAAAGCAAUCAUCAUGUUUUCUGAAUCAUCACCACCACCAAGAAGAACAAAACCUUACUACUUCUUUCACCGCCGUCAUCAUUGUUCCCACCACCAACUUCCUAAUACUUAUUUCAAAAAGACAUCAUCAUUAUUCUCACUACCACCACCACCUUAUUCAAGGAAGAAGAACAAUAAUAUUCGUCAGAAAAAACGUGGUGGUGGACAUGAUGUUUUUGUUCGUGAGGAUAAUGAUGAUGACACUGAUGAACAUGUACACAAGAGUAUAGUAUUAAUUUGGCAAGAGACGUUUGAAUGAACGACUCUAGCUAAAAGUCACUUUUUUUCCUUUGUGGGGGAAUCAAGCUUCUUGGUCCGAUCUCUUUGCUAUUUCAAGCAAAGUCAUCACUUUUUACUUAAUUAUAUACAACCUGCCUAGCUACCUACUAGAUCUUCUUGUUGGAUACAAAAAUUACUUGGUCAAGGAAGAGAAAGAACAAGGAUUUGUGAACCGCUAGCUAGCUGCAGGUGGGUUUUGUUGUAUUUAGAUUUUGAUUACUAGUAGUAUAGUGGUUGCUUUCUUUUGAGUUUCUACUUUCUAGGGACUAGGCGUGUGGUGUUGGGUGAAUCUUUAUGGAUCUGUUUGAUUGUAUUAAUCUCUUAAUUAAUUAUACUGUGGUUUAUUUUCAUAUGUUUUGUUAUUCGUAACAUAGAUCUUCAAUAGAUUAUCAUGAGAAAUGAAGGUAUUACAAUCAAAUCUCACCUUCUAGUGAUCAAUUUAGGGUUUCAUUUAAUUAUCAGUUGAUUAAAAGUUUUCUAACUAAAGUCUAAUUAUCAGUUGAUUAAAAGUUUUCUAGCUAAAGUCCAAAGUACCUUUUUAUAACUUUUGAUUACCUUUGCUUAAUUAGGCAAAAUUAUAUGAUAUACUACCAUAUAUAAGUGUAUCAGAUCAACAAAUAAGCAUCCUUUGCAAUCAUAGAAUUUUACCUUGUUAAAUUAUAUGUAUUAGGGAACAAGCUUGGGUUUUAGAUCCAUGAUUAAGAAGAAACAGAAGAUAGGUCUAGCUAGGGUCUUGGUACGUGAUUAAUAAUUUAUUGAUAUAGCAAAUUAUCGAACAGAGCGAAAUAGUACUAGGCAUGCAUCUUUGGAAGUAAUGAUAUUGAGCUUGUUGCUCAUGGUAUUAUAUAUUCUUGAACUUAUUGAGGUAAUGAUAUUGGUAAUAGUCAUUGGAAUUACUAACUCCAAGGGCAAGGCAACAGAUUUAAACUUUCAGGUCUCGACUUUGGCUUUAUGUGUGGUUCGGUUGGAUAUUUUGACAUAAUAUAUGUUCACCAUACACCUCAUAAGAUACCAACUGAGUAUCAUGAUAUAUAAAGUUGGUAGAUCGAUCUAUUUAUGUUGUUGGGAUUGCAGCUAGGAUCAUGAUGUAAAUACGUAUAUGAAUAAGGGAUGCUAGAGUUGAUAUAGAAGUAGAUGGAUGUUUAGGGGUAUAAAGUACGAUAUCCAGUUACCAGUACUUGGUAAUUUUCAUCCGGUGUAUGGUCAUUUCAGUUAAAAAUCUAGUUUAAGAUAUUACAGAGAACCGAUUUGUUGUAGAAAUUCUUUUAGUAAUAGAUUGUGGGCCUCGAACACAUGAACUUUGCUGGCUAAUUCGAUGUUAUAUUGAGUGUAUGAUUACCCCAUCUUAAAAGUUUUAAGUUAUUAAAGAGAUCACACCUUUAAAACUAGCCCAAGUCGACUUAUUCUCAAUUGUUGUGUGCUUUUGAGCAUCAUUUAUAAUGGCAUCAAACUUCCAUAUUGCUUGAGGUGGUUUGAGUUGAACUCUUGAGUCAAAUUUGAAGUAGACGAUGAAUAUGGAAGAAGAUGAGAUGUGUAUGUAUCUUCUGUGUGUAAUCCUGUAUAUGAAAUAUAUGAGUCGUAAGAAAUUUUUCUAACUUAAUUUGAACUGCCAAUAUUGAUCCAAACCAGUUCAAGUCAACUUCAAACUUUCUCAAAUUUUGAAUGUUACCUCAUGUAUGUGUUUUCCACGAAUUUCAAUAGUGCUGUUGAAAAAAAUCAUUUUUCUUAAGUUUUUUUUUUUAAUGUUAUACAUCACUGGAUAAUUUUUAUUGGCAAAAAAUAAUUUAACGGCAUAGAAGGCUAAAGUACUAUGAAGGCUACCAAAAUAUGGUGGAUCCCGUAGUUCUCCCCUUAGUUAUCUUUUCAAAAUAUUAACUUAUUAUUACGACUAAAUGAUUAAUUGAGAGGAGUAUAGAUAGUAAAUAACCGGCUAAUUAAGUGAUAAAAUAUGUACGUGUGUGCAAAUUACACAUGCAUGUCAUGAGUACUGUACGAGUGUAUCAGUAGUUCAGUAUUCACUGCUGGCUUGCUUGCUCAGUGUACUGAGUAAGCAUUCCUUACUUUAUCGAUGUGGACGAAUUUCCUUCUCAUGUAUGUAUGCAAUUAGUGUUUCUUCUUCUCUAGUGUCUAUGUCUUUUUCCAAAAAAAUUAUGCCAUUAAAUUCAAAAAGUUUUGCUUUUUCUGGAACCAUAUUAUUCAAGUCCAUAGUUAUAUAGGCAUCAUAUCUUGGUUACUUUUUUAGUGUUUCCUUCCCUCCUUUUACGUACGAGAUGUGGGAGCGUUUGUUAAUUAGUGCAUAUGCAAGACGAAUUGAUCAACAAAAAGUUAUAGGUAGUCAAAUAAAAUAUGCGAAUUUAGGAUUUAAAUUUAUUGAUUUUAAUCUUUAAAGUUUUAAGCACUAAAUUUUUAUCAGUGAUAGAAUUAGAAAUUUCUAUCAAUGGAAUUUGAUAUUUCUAGUGUCCCACUUAAGAAUUGUAUCAUUAUCCAGCUAAAAUUUAACUUUUAAUCUUUAAUGUAUUUACUAUUCCUUCCGUCCCAAAUUAUCCGUCUCAAAUUUUCUAAUUUAAUUUCUCGUUUUACUUGUCUUUUUUCAUUAAUCAAGAAGAAAUAAUUUUUUUUCAUGUUUUAUCCUUUGCAUUAAUUACUUUUACUUCAAAUUAAAAUGUAAACAUCAUUUAAUAGGGGUACUAUGUUAAAUUAAUCAUGUUAUUAAUUAUUUUUCUUAAUUAAUGUGUCAUCUCAAUUUGGGACGAAUAUUUUUGGACGAGGAAGUAUUUGUGAAUUAAUCCAAGAUUCCAAUAUAUAUAAAUAUACUCAACUCAUUUAUGUGUAAAGUAAUUAAGUAUAACAUAAAUAUAUGUCUUUUGCAUAUUUUUAUUAUCUUUUUUUCUCCUGCUUUCAUCUCUGUCAAGACUUGAUAAUUGAUAUAUAUUUUGCAUUAAAAAAUUAACCAUAUCUUUUCGAUUUUGUCCAUGUAGCUCCGGGCUGCCAUCAACUGUAACACUUCUUAGGGUGUGUUUGGUAGGGAGGAAAUUAAUUUUUACAUGUUUGAUUGAUCAAAAAUAUUUUGAAGAUGUUCCUUUUUUUUUUUUUAAGAAAAAAAGCUUCUUGAAAUCUAAAGAAAACAAGUUCCCUGAGUGGUGUAACACAUUAGUCAUCCCUAUGAUCCCCACGCCCACCCUCUAUCCCUACCCCAUAAUAUUUCCCUAGAUAGUAAAUAUAAUUUUGGAAUAACAUUCUUUUUAUUUAUAUAUCAAACAAUAAAACUAAAUAAGAAAGUCACUUAUUCUUUAAAAAAAGCACUUUCCAAAGUAUCAAACGCACCCUUAAACUACUCAUCCAGCCAUGAAUCUUGUUCUAACUAGUAGUGGAGUAGUACUUGCACCUUUUGCUGACUGAAAGUUGUCCUGUGGAAGAAGCAAAUUUCCAUUUUGGUUUGAAAAUUUGGACAUGUCCAUGAUCCAAUAGGUGGAAACAACCAACUGAUAUACUAUUUUGUUGGAGCUGAUGAAGAGGAAAGCAAGGGGAAGCUGCUUAUAUAUUAUGACUACCUACAAGCUGAAAAGUUGGUUGUUGUACGUUUCAUAUUGCCCAUAGUUAGUUGUAAAUAGCAUGAUUGUACUCGACCAUCAUCAUUAUUCCCUAGCUUAUGACUACCCGCUGUCAACAGUUUUUUGUCAUGUAUAAUUCGCACCGUUCAUAUACACAUCAAAAUAUCUCAAGGGAUUAAUUUUAAAGUUUAAAUUUUGUGUACACAUUGUAUAAAAUAUUUUACAAUCAUUAGGUAAAAUUAAUAAAAUUGACUUGCUAUUGCAAGUUACCCAUUCUUUCCUAAUGUAUUUUUGUCCUUUUCUAAAAUUAAAUAACUUUGCUUGGCUCAUUAUCUCCGGGAAACUCCCAUUGUAACUCAGUCUCUGAUCUGAACCCGUUAAUUGAGCCGAGUCAAGUCGAAUCAGCCCGGUUAGACCAGUCAAAAAUGUUAUCCGAACCAGUCUGACCCGGAAUCGGUAGGGUUGGGGGGUUUGGAGUUGGGUUCUGGUGAUGGGUCAUCUGGUUCAAGGAGUCCAGUGGAUCGGUCUAGUUAUAAAACGGAUCAGGUCCACUGGUGCAUCGGACUGACCCCAUUAAUUUUUUUUAAAAAAUUAACUAUCCCAACAGUCCAACUGGAUUUUGGACUGUUGGCCACUGUAACGGCUAUAAUCAUUGGCCCAACGGCCAAAAUCAGCUUUGGCUGAUAAUUUUUUUAGGAAAAAAAUUUAAUUCAAUUUUUUUGCUAUAAAUACAUGCAUUUUGAAUCAUUUUUUCACACAACUCACAAUUUCAUUCUUUCAAUCUUUCUCGGUUAUUCUAAUUAUCUCCUAAAGUGCUCAAUUUCAUUUUGUUAUUUUGGAAUUACAAAUAUCAAGUGAAAGUUUUCAAAAGUCUCAACUUUCAGAUACUUCAAAAAUUUGAUAUAGUCUUUUCAUUUCUUACUUUUAAUUUUUGAUUAGUGUAUUAUUUGUUUAAUAUUUGUUUGUAUUAUUUUUAUAUUUUUUGAAUAUUUAUUAGUUUAAUUUAUAAUAUGGAUAAAUUAAGAAAAGUUGGUAAAAAUGUUAGAAAUUUUUGUUCCGAAAGUAGUAGUGGUAGUAAAAAUUAAUUAAUUCCGAUAGAGAUGGUUCAAGUAGUCGAUAUACUUGUGUUCCUCCGGUACUACUUAGAGAAUCCUUUGAAAAUGAAAUAGGUGUAGGUGCUCACGAUAUGAAUUUUUUAGAAUCUCAAGAAAAUUAUGGUAUAGAAGAAGAGAAUGAAGUAGACUUAGUUGAUUUAAAUGAAGAUGUUAAUGAUAUUAGUGAUAACCCGAAAUCGGUAAUGUUAAUGUUCGAUCUGAAUCAGUUAAUCUUCCUCCCCUGCCCCCUGUAAGAUCUAAAAAAAAAUUGUAUUAUGUGAAAAUCUUUUAGUUGUGUAGAAGAAACUACUAAGAUCCAAUGCGAUCUUUGUCAGGAAGUAUAUGAUCAUAAGACAAGAGGUAAUAAAGUUGGUACGGGUGCGUUGAAUAGACAUUUGCAAGUUAAGCACCCAAUAGAGUUAGCUGAGUUAGAAGGUGGUGGAACUAUUAGGGGGUCAACUCAAACUAAAUUGGAUUCAAAAAUCAGUCAAUUAGUUUCGAAUUAUAAUAAAAUGAAGGAUAGGGAAGAAUUAACAAAAAUGAUAGUUGUGGGUUGUUGGCCUUUCUCUUUUGCUUCUUCUGAAGCUUUUAUUCAUUAUAUUCAAGAAAUUUAUAAUCCUACAUUAGAAGGUAUUCUUAUAAGUACUGGUCAGUUUGAUAUUUUUAGACUCUAUGCACAAUAUGUUUAUUAUUUAUCUGCAUUAUUAAAAAAUCUUUCAUAUAGAGUUGCUCUAAUGAUUAUUUAACAAUUAUUUGUCAUUAGAUAGAUAGUAAUUUUGUUAUUCAAAAACGUAUUUUAGCAUUUUUGUAUGAUGAAGACCGUGGACACAUUGAGAAAUUUAUUUUUGAAUCUAUUAUAAAAGUUAUAAAAUAUUAUGGUAUUGAAAGAAAAGUAUUAUGUAUAUCUUUUGAUAAUGCAUCUAACAACAAGGUUGUUGUUGACUUGUUAAAAUUUGAACUUUCUCCACCGUUAUCUAAAAUAUUUCAUGUGAAGUGUGUUUGUCAUAUACAUAAUUUAAUUGUAAAAGAUGAUCUUGAAUUUUUUAGCUUAUUAUUGAAAAGGUUAGGCUUGCAGUUGGCUUUAUUCAAGGAAAUCAUAGAAAAGUUAGAUUUAUAGAAUUUAAAAGAAAAUGUGAACAAAGUGGAAUUAGACCGAUAUUAAUGUCUGAAGAAGUAGAUUGUAGAUGAAAUGCUACUUAUGAUUUUGUAAGAACUUGCCUUAUUUAUAAAGUUCCUAUUAUAAUGACCUUUAAUCAAUUUACUGGUUCUUUUCCUGAGUGUAUGCUACAUGAUUCUGAUUGGCAAUGAUAACUGAUCUUAUUAAAUUUUUGAAAAAAAUUUAUAUAGCUACGAUUGAAUUUUUUGAUGCUUAUUAUCCUACUGUUUAUAAUGUUUUAGCUUAUUUAGACGACAUUUCUUGUUUGCUUAACGAAUAUAAGGAUAAACUAGGUUACAAAGAAGCUAUUGUUGUAAUGAAUGAUAAAUUUUAAAAAUAUUUUUAUUCAUUUUUCUCUAUUUACUUGAUUGGUGCUAUAAUAAAUUCAUGUAUGAAAUAUAAUAUUAUGUCCGAAUUUGCUUCUAUUAAUUAUAAUGUUUUAGCUAUUCAACCUGAAGAAGAACUUUCUUUGUUUAUGGCUAUGGGUGAUGCGAACAAGUACAUGGACGUAUUAUACAAUUAUUAUGCUGAUUUACUUGAUGAUGCUAUAUCGGCACAUAUCACUCCAACUCUCACUCCCCAUGUUCCCAAGGAACCAUCAUCUUCUAAAAAACAAGCACAUAGUAGUUAUUUGAUUACUUUAUUGAUUUAAAUGUUUGAAAUAGGGUGUCGCAUUCAACACACAGAGCCAUUUUUUAGAAAGAGCUUAAGUAUUAUC